GACGAACGCUGGCGGCGUGCUUAACACAUGCAAGUCGAGCGGAAAGGCCCUUCGGGGUACUCGAGCGGCGAACGGGUGAGUAACACGUGGGUAACCUGCCCUUCACUCUGGGAUAACUCCGGGAAACCGGGGCUAAUACCGGAUACGACCACUUUAGGCAUCUUCGGUGGUGGAAAGUUUUUCGGUGGAGGAUGGACCCGCGGCCUAUCAGCUUGUUGGUGGGGUAAUGGCCUACCAAGGCAGUGACGGGUAGCCGGCCUGAGAGGGCGACCGGCCACACUGGGACUGAGACACGGCCCAGACUCCUACGGGAGGCAGCAGUGGGGAAUAUUGCGCAAUGGGCGGAAGCCUGACGCAGCGACGCCGCGUGAGGGAUGACGGCCUUCGGUU
rnacentral:rRNA from 1 species